rnacentral:rRNA from 2 species
UACAGAGGUCCCGAGCGUUGUUCGGAUUCACUGGGCGUAAAGGGUGCGUAGGCGGCUGGGUAAGUCUGAUGUGAAAUCUCCGGGCCCAACCCGGAAAUGGCAUCGGAAACUACCUGGCUGGAGGCUUGGAGGGGGAACUGGAAUACUUGGUGUAGCAGUGAAAUGCGUAGAUAUCAAGUGGAACACCGGUGGCGAAGGCGAGUUCCUGGACAAGACCUGACGCUGAGGCACGAAAGCUAGGGGAGCAAACAGG